AUGAAGUGCCUGAAAAAUAGGGCUAUUUUGAUAGAAUAGAAUAUGCAAUCAAAUGCCUUCAUUAU
rnacentral:tRNA from 1 species